rnacentral:rRNA from 1 species
CUACGGGAGGCAGCAGUGAGGAAUAUUGGACAAUGGGCGAGAGCCUGAUCCAGCCAUGCCGCGUGCAGGAAGACUGCCCUAUGGGUUGUAAACUGCUUUUAUACAGGAAGAAUAAGCCUUACGUGUAAGGUGAUGACGGUACUGUAAGAAUAAGGACCGGCUAACUCCGUGCCAGCAGCCGCGGUAAUACGGAGGGUCCGAGCGUUAUCCGGAAUUAUUGGGUUUAAAGGGUCCGUAGGCGGAUGAUUAAGUCAGGGGUGAAAGUUUGCAGCUCAACUGUAAAAUUGCCUUUGAUACUGGUUAUCUUGAGUUGUAUUGAAGUAGGCGGAAUAUGUAGUGUAGCGGUGAAAUGCAUAGAUAUUACAUAGAACACCAAUUGCGAAGGCAGCUUACUAAGUACUAACUGACGCUGAUGGACGAAAGCGUGGGUAGCGAACAGGAUUAGAUACCCUGGUAGUCCACGCCGUAAACGAUGGAUACUAGCUGUUCGGGACCUUGAGUUCUGAGCGGCUAAGCGAAAGUGAUAAGUAUCCCACCUGGGGAGUACGUUCGCAAGAAUGAAACUCAAAGGAAUUGACGGA